UGCUGUCAUUAAAGAAUUUUAGGUUUCAAAAAGUUUGACCAAGAGAAGAAGAAUAAUCAAUAAUCAUGUUUACAAGUGAAUACAAUAAUGACAAAUAUACUAACUAAUAAAUAAUCAGUGAAUCACUAUAAGACGUAAAUAAAACAUUAGAAAUGAAAUCUCCUCUGUCACAUGACACUUACAGCAUCAAACUAUCAUGAGGAGGGGUUGGAGGGGUCCUGAACCUGAAAUCCUGAAAUCCAUGAAAUCCUGAGGUCCAGAAAUUAAAGAAAUUGAAAUUCCUGACAUCCAGAAAUUUGAAAAAAAAAUUCCCGGAUCCUGAAAGGAAUCCCGAGCUUAAAAACACCAGUUCUUGAAAAAGGUUCUGACCCCCCUAUCAUAUGUUUAAAUAAUACUGAGAAAAGAUGUGUACUAACAUCCUGACUUCAGUAACUUACAUUCUAUUAAGCAAACUUCACAAACAGUGUAAAGUCAAAUGAUUUUUAGAUUAUAUAUAACUAAAGCACCUUCCUAAAAAUAUGGAAAAUAUGUCAAUUUUCUAUGUAAGCUAUAUACUGCAGGUAAUCAUUAGAAGCAAACUGGUUCAAGACAAAAAUUAAAGUUAUAUCCCCCAAACAUAUCAUACUUAGUUGGCAAAAUACCAUGUGGACAUAUCAGUUGUAUUUUCCUAAAUAACAACUACAGAUUUUUUUUGUCUAUGGGUAUCUAAUGUUUUGCUGAAAUGGAGAUCAUCUUGGGGUUUGCCUAUUUCACAUAAUUAAGGGAAUAUUAAGGUAAUAUUUUUGACAUGCAAUUUCCCAAGAAACCACUAAUUUGGGUUAAGGGUCUGGAAUUGCCUAGAUAUCUAGAAAUUCUUAUGGUAUAUCUUUUAAUUUCAUUUGAAAACUUUGGUAAAGGCAAAUAUUAUAAGUUUAAAUAUGAUUUAUGUACAGGUUGUAC
rnacentral:lncRNA from 1 species